UUCGAAUUUUAACGUUACUAAUUAUGCGUUUGAGGUCGGUAUGUAAUGCAGGAAUGAGUACAUCGGAUUCUUAUGAAAUUUAAGCCCAACCCGGAAUAAGAGGAUGAGUGAUACACGGACUUCUUCUGCUACUUAGGAGGUGAAGCGGACGUAAAUCGAGUCAAGAGCAAGGAUUGCACGGAUAGAUCGACCAUAUAGUUGAAAUAUGUAACGUCUAGAAAUGUGAAAUUUUAGUAUGAAUGUUGUGAAUUCUUUUAUAGAACGUUUAACAUUUUAGCUUUUGGAACCUUCUCGAAAGUAAUGUCGUUAAUAAGGAAGGAAAUUUUUAAAGCUC